rnacentral:rRNA from 2 species
AGAGUUUGAUCAUGGCUCAGAUUGAACGCUGGCGGCAGGCUUAACACAUGCAAGUCGAGCGGGGGAAGGUAGCUUGCUACCGGACCUAGCGGCGGACGGGUGAGUAAUGCUUAGGAAUCUGCCUAUUAGUGGGGGACAACAUCUCGAAAGGGAUGCUAAUACCGCAUACGUCCUACGGGAGAAAGCAGGGGAUCUUCGGACCUUGCGCUAAUAGAUGAGCCUAAGUCGGAUUAGCUAGUUGGUGGGGUAAAGGCCUACCAAGGCGACGAUCUGUAGCGGGUCUGAGAGGAUGAUCCGCCACACUGGGACUGAGACACGGCCCAGACUCCUACGGGAGGCAGCAGUGGGGAAUAUUGGACAAUGGGGGGAACCCUGAUCCAGCCAUGCCGCGUGUGUGAAGAAGGCCUUAUGGUUGUAAAGCACUUUAAGCGAGGAGGAGGCUACUUUAGUUAAUACCUAGAGAUAGUGGACGUUACUCGCAGAAUAAGCACCGGCUAACUCUGUGCCAGCAGCCGCGGUAAUACAGAGGGUGCGAGCGUUAAUCGGAUUUACUGGGCGUAAAGCGUGCGUAGGCGGCUUAUUAAGUCGGAUGUGAAAUCCCCGAGCUUAACUUGGGAAUUGCAUUCGAUACUGGUGAGCUAGAGUAUGGGAGAGGAUGGUAGAAUUCCAGGUGUAGCGGUGAAAUGCGUAGAGAUCUGGAGGAAUACCGAUGGCGAAGGCAGCCAUCUGGCCUAAUACUGACGCUGAGGUACGAAAGCAUGGGGAGCAAACAGGAUUAGAUACCCUGGUAGUCCAUGCCGUAAACGAUGUCUACUAGCCGUUGGGGCCUUUGAGGCUUUAGUGGCGCAGCUAACGCGAUAAGUAGACCGCCUGGGGAGUACGGUCGCAAGACUAAAACUCAAAUGAAUUGACGGGGGCCCGCACAAGCGGUGGAGCAUGUGGUUUAAUUCGAUGCAACGCGAAGAACCUUACCUGGCCUUGACAUACUAGAAACUUUCCAGAGAUGGAUUGGUGCCUUCGGGAAUCUAGAUACAGGUGCUGCAUGGCUGUCG